GACGAACGCUGGCGGCGUGCCUAAUACAUGCAAGUAGAACGCUGAAGGAGGAGCUUGCUUCUCUGGAUGAGUUGCGAACGGGUGAGUAACGCGUAGGUAACCUGCCUGGUAGCGGGGGAUAACUAUUGGAAACGAUAGCUAAUACCGCGUAAUAGUAGAUGUUGCAUGACAUUUGCUUAAGAGGUGCAAUUGCAUCACUACCAGAUGGACCUGCGUUGUAUUAGCUAGUUGGUGGGGUAACGGCUCACCAAGGCGACGAUACAUAGCCGACCGGAGAGGGGGAGCGGCCACACUGGGACUGAGACACGGCCCAGACGCCUACGGGAGGCAGCAGUAGGGAAUCUGCGGCAAGGGAUGGAAGUCUGAGCGAGAAACGCCGAGGGAGUGAAGAAGGUUUUCGGAUCGUAAAGCUCGGUUGUAAGAGAAGAACGAGUGUGAGAGUGGAAAGUUCACAAUGUGACGGUAUCUGACCAGAAAGCGACGGCUAACUACGUG
rnacentral:rRNA from 1 species